AGACGUCUACAUUAGAUACCCCGGUAGUCCUAGCCGUAAACGAUACUCGCUAGGUGUCGGCCACGGUGCGACCGUUGUCGGUGCCGUAGGGAAGCCGUGAAGCGAGCCACCUGGGAAGUACGGCCGCAAGGCUGAAACUUAAAGGAAUUGGCGGGGGAGCACCACAACGGGUGGAGCUUGCGGUUUAAUUGGAUUCAACGCCGGAAAUCUUACCGGGACCGACAGCAACAUGAAGGCCAGGCUGAAGACUUUGCCGGAUUAGCUG
rnacentral:rRNA from 1 species